AUGACGAUGCAGCAGCGGCAGCAGUGGAGGACGACGUCGUGCAUCUACCUUGUCCCGGAGCGCAACAGGAAGCUAAACAUCACCGCCUACACGCCGCAGCUGGUGUCCUUCGGCCCCUUCCACCAUGGCCUCGCCUCCCUCCGGCCCAUGGAGGAGCACAAGCACAGGGCCCUCCUGCACUUCCUCCGGCGCGCCUGCAAGCCCCUCAGCGAGUUCGUGGCGGCCAUGGAGGGCGCGGCGGAGCAGCUGGAGGGCAUGUACCAGGGCCUCCCAGCCGAGUGGCGCGACAGGCGGCGCUUGGUGCGGCUCAUGGUCCUGGACGGCUGCUUCAUGCUGGAGGUGGUGAGGGCGGCCACCGCGACGGCGGAGAACGACUACCACGUGGACGACCCCGUCUUCGGCUGGCACGGCGCCGUCAACACCAUACCCUACGUCCGCCGCGACAUGCUCCUCAUCGAGAACCAGCUGCCGCUGCUUGUGCUGCUCAAGCUUAUCACCGUCGAGAGCGGGCGACCAGAUCCGAGUGGGAUCAAGAGGCAAGUGCUCAAGUUCUUGUCGCCGAGCACCCAGCUGAUGGACGAUGUCGUCCCCGAGGGGCUCCACCCUCUCCAGCUUUUCCGGUGGAGCCGCGUCGCCGAGCAGAGGAGCACACUAGUCCCGGCGACAAACCCAGGCGACGUGCCUUCUCAUCAGCACCAGCUGGACCAGGUGCCCGCGGAGGCAGAGCAGAGGAGCGACAUCUCGGCAAUGGACCUGCGGGACGCCGGCAUCCACCUGAGGAAGCUGUCCUCCAAGAAGAUCAGCGACAUCCGCCUCGCUGGCCACGUGCUCAGCCUGCCGACGCUCACCGUCAACGAGCUGACGGAGCCCAUCUUCGUGAACCUGGUCGCGUUCAAGCGACUGCACGUCGGGCUCAGCUCGCCCUUCCGCCUCACCGCCUACCUCUUCUUCAUGUCCAAGGUCGUCAAGACCGCCGAGGACGUCGCUUUUCUGAGCUCCAAGGGGAUCAUCAGGAACGCGCUGGACGACGGCCACAAGGUGGCGGAGCUGUUCGCCAGGAUGUCGGCUGACCUGCAUGUGUACCCGCCCGAGGAAGGCGGCAGGCUGGUCAUCCUGCACCAGCAGCUUGAGAAAUACUGCCAGGAGAAGUGGCGCAUUUGGCGGGCGCACAUCGCUCGGACCUACUUCAGGAGCCCAUGGGCGCCCCUCUCCCUUGCCGGCAGCGUCUUCUUCCUCACCAUGACCGCAGCAAACAACAUCUACAAUGUACUGCGGGUGCGGCACUGA
rnacentral:rRNA from 1 species